rnacentral:lncRNA from 10 species
GGGUAGAGGCCGACGCGCGCCCAUUGGCCGACUCGGCUGCGGGCGUCCCCGUGGCCACGUGACAAUAACACCGCUCCAGCCGGGGGCCUACGCGCGGGAGAAAGUGGAGCUGAGAUUGUAGGAAAUUCAGAGUUAUAUUUUCCAGCCUCUCCAGCCAGAAGUCUCCACUACGUCGUGGGAAACAUAUAUCAAAUGGAGUUGAAAGGCAAAAGGAAGUGAUCAGCGCCACAAGAUGUUGAAACUAAUGGAGACCGCAGAGAUCAUGUGCUAAGGGGCCUUCCUCCUCUGGGAAACACAAUGAGGCAAAUGUGAUCUGCAUAGCUCCACCCUUUGUGAACAUCCUUGAGUUGGAAAAGUGCUGUGAGAGGCACGUGUCAAUCUUCAGAAGCUGAAGUGACUUGUCUAGGGUGGGAGAAGGAAUGUUCUCUGGAGAAAUCUGUAUGAUAGAAUAGUGAAGGUAACUGGCCUGAACUACAGCUCUUGAGCCAUCUGGUUUCACCUUCAGGGAGCCUAGGCUACAGAAUGAGAUGCACGUAAGAAGUCUGUGACCUGGACCAGAGCAGCCCAGCUGAACACAUGCUGGAUUGGAAGAACCACCUUUGACCUGAAGACCUGUGAGUGAGAAUAAAUGCUGUUGGGCUAAUUGAUGUAUCAAGAGAAUGCAGCUGUCAUAAUUAAGAAGAAAAGACAUUUAAGCCACCAGA